rnacentral:rRNA from 1 species
UACGAAGGGGGGCUAGCGUUGCUCGGAAUCACUGGGCGUAAAGCGCACGUAGGCGGAUCUUUAAGUCAGGGGUGAAAUCCCAAGGCUCAACCUUGGAACUGCCUUUGAUACUGGGGAUCUCGAGUCCGGAAGAGGUGAGUGGAACUGCGAGUGUAGAGGUGAAAUUCGUAGAUAUUCGCAAGAACACCAGUGGCGAAGGCGGCUCACUGGUCCGGUACUGACGCUGAGGUGCGAAAGCG